GAACGUCUCGAAAAUGUAUUAUUUCAUUUUGUCAUGAAUUAUAAAAUAAGGCAUGUUCAGGACAAUUAUAAAUGUACCUAGUUAGCCUGCACAUACGUCUGAUGACAAUAUUAAAAUAAAAUGGAAUUUCAUAAUUCAAAAAAGGUAAACAAUGUUUGUCAAAUAAUAAUCUAGACUUUCCCCAAAGUGCAACACUGUACCGAAAUGCGGAUCGUAACCGAUUUAUUCACUUGGCAUUACUUUGUUACAUUGAGCACAUUAAACUGGGGUAUUUGGUCUGAGCUACUCUUCUAGUGGCAUCCCUCAAAUGUCAAGAUCUAAGAAAGAAACUUGAAAAGCAUC
rnacentral:lncRNA from 1 species